CUUGUCAGAGGGUGGUGACUUUGGAGACUCCAUGCCCGUGAGGACAACUUCCAGACUGUUCCUUACACAGAAGGAAACAUUGCCUAAAGGAUCAAAUCAAGAAAUUCCCAAGCUUGGACUAAUUCCUCUGAAAUCCGAGGUUAUAGAAGAUUACGCUGGAGAUAUUUGGUCCGAACUACCUUUUGUAAGCAGUGAUGACCCAGCUAUCACCUGUCUUUCUAAGAAGAGAGAGUUUGAUGAGCUCAUACAUUGGCAUUCCUCUCAACCUCUAAGUGAUGAUUUUGAAAGGACAAGAAACAGCGAUAGUGGUGAGUAUAAUUCAUACUAGGGAAUGUUUCCAGCAGUUUUCUUGUUUAAACAAGCAUCAUGUGUAGAAGGGA